UGGGGUGGCGAUAGCGGAGGGGUCACACCUCUUCCCAUUCCGAACAGAGAAGUUAAGCCCUCCAGCGCCGAUGGUACUGCUCGGGAAACCGAGUGGGAGAGUAGGACGCCGCCCCUU
rnacentral:rRNA from 1 species